AGCGAACGCUGGCGGCAGGCUUAACACAUGCAAGUCGAGCGGGCACUUUCGGGUGUCAGCGGCGGACGGGUGAGUAACGCGUGGGAACGUGCCCUCUGGUUCGGAAUAACUCAGGGAAACUUGAGCUAAUACCGGAUACGCCCUUUUGGGGAAAGGCUUGCUGCCGGAGGAUCGGCCCGCGUCUGAUUAGCUAGUUGGUGAGGUAACAGCUCACCAAGGCGACGAUCAGUAGCUGGUCUGAGAGGAUGAUCAGCCACACUGGGACUGAGACACGGCCCAGACUCCUACGGGAGGCAGCAGUGGGGAAUAUUGGACAAUGGGCGCAAGCCUGAUCCAGCCAUGCCGCGUGAGUGAUGAAGGCCUUAGGGUUGUAAAGCUCUUUUAUCCGGGACGAUAAUGACGGUACCGGAGGAAUAAGCCCCGGCUAACUUCGUG
rnacentral:rRNA from 1 species